rfam:Glossina brevipalpis unplaced genomic scaffold Scaffold13, whole genome shotgun sequence.
UGUAGGGGGUAGGUUUAGUACGUAACCACCAUAGAUGGUGAAUUGUGCAUGCUACUGGCACGGGCCGGUAGUAUCUAUGGAAGAUUCCCAGCUACA